GUGCGGAGGGUCCGGGAAUCGGGCCGGGGAUCUUCGGACCCCGCCCAGCUCUCGACUGGGCCCGACGCCGCGUGCACUUUCCGCGGGCAGAGCGCCACGACCGGUUUCGCGGCGGCGAUAAGCCCGUGCGGAUGCGUGGCACGAUCUCACGGUCGUGCUACGGCCGCACGCGGUGAGCCGCUGACGGGACCGAGGAACGGCCGCGCGCUUCGAGGCUGCCCGGCCUCGCUGGGGAGUUCGACUGGCAGGGACUGGGCAACCGUGCCUGCCGACUGCUCCCCGGUGCCGGUUCGGGACAUCCGGGCGCGU
rnacentral:rRNA from 1 species